GGAGGCAGUGGUACCGGAAUGCAGAGGCUGGGGCCACGUGGCAGGUCCUGGGAGCAUCUGGGGAGAGAGCUUCUGAUGAGGGCUCUGGGCAGGAAGGAGGUGCUGGUGAUGCGGCCUGAGGCGGAGUGGGGGUCACGCCCGGCUCCCCCUCCUGUUGCACGUCACUUCCCACGAGCCCUCUCAUUGGCCAGAUCACCAGGAAGCUGGCUGGCAAAGCAGGCUGACGGAUGGAGUUCCUGACACACAGGGCAAGGGCGGGGGCGGCUUCAGCUUGGCCACCCCAGUCCCGUGCCGCACCUGCAGACCACGGGCGCCAGGACUGGGCCCCUGCCUGCCUCCUUCUCUUACCUUCCAGGACUUUCCACGUCCCUUCAGCUGUGGGCAUGCGAGCUCCCAGCUCCCUGGCCGGGCAGGGCGGGGCCCUCCUCAUGGUCUCAGGGCCCUACCUUGUGGCUGCAGAGAGGGAGGCGAGACACCAACCUCACCUUCCAUGGCAGGCGUGAUUUUGUCCUGUCCGGACGAGUGCGUGCUGACUGACCUGCAGCAGUCUUCCAGACGCGCCACUUCCAGACGCUCCUAACGCCACCCGCCAGAGUCACUGCACCACCUCUUCUGAUGGGCAGCAAGAUACUGGCAUGUGUUCCAGAUCCUCAUUUUGCAGAUGGGAAAGGCGAGGCCCAGAGGGUCCAGUGACUUAUGCAAAGCCACCCCAUUUCCUAGUGACAGAGCUAGGACUAGAAAUGAAAUCGGCUCCCGACUGACCUGUUUGCUGAGCUCUCUGCCUUGAGGAGUCCUCAUCUGCCCCGUCUUCAUGAAACCUGGGUGUUUGUUGGAAGCAGGCACAGUAAGAAUGGCUCAAACCAGCUUGGCAGUUACUGUCAGCAGAGACGGCGGCUGGAACGGAAGCAGCUCAGCAUGUUGCCAAGAUGUCUAUGAUACAAUACACAGCUUGUCCUUCAGCCCUGAACGUCACCUGCAUGAAUAACUCAUUAACUCAAAACAGACACCACGUUCCAGUGGGUGAUUGAGGAAACUUGAAUGAAGAGGCUUCUUACAAAUGGGUCAGCAGGGUUUCUGGAAACCAAGAAGAAAUACUUGAACUCAAAACUCAGCAAGAACGGGAAGUCAUAGCCCCUGCCGGGCCUGGAGGGUACGGAGAGGGAAGGCUGACCCCAGCCCAGGGGCAGAAGAGUCGGAGGAGAGGGUCUCAUGACAGCGGCUGUGGUCUCGGGAGAGAAACUCACUCAGCUGAUAGCGACCCACGCAGAGGAAUCUGGGGAGUAAGUAUUCGGAUUCACCUGUUUCCCAGCCCAGUCUCCAGCUUAUACUUCCCGGGAAUACGAACCAGCCAGAUGCCCACGGCAAGGGGCACAGGCGACAGGCCGGCUAGAGAGCGGGCUUGGCUGGUGUGAUGAAAGUGGCCCGUGCAGUUCUUUCUAUCCCUCAGAGCGUUUGCUUAUCUAUCUGUCAUUCAAGUGAAAAUAAAUGUGUUUUCAGCACAAAGCUCCACGAGCUGCCAUUUCACUAAGGAGUGAUAUCAGUACUUGAAACGAAAGUAUUAGCCUCCACCGUCUUCUUAAUAAAGUCAGUGGGAGUAAAGAUGGAGAAAAUGAAAGAUGAACUAACAUAAAACUUAGCUGAUGCACCUGUCUCUGGGGUGUGUCAGGUGCCUGAGUCGGUAAGGAUAGCUGUCGAUUUUUACUAUUAAUUUCCUGUUCCC